CCGAGGGAGGGAGAAGGCACACGAUGGAAGAACGAUGGGUUCCUGAAGGCCGUUUGAAAGAUUGUGGUCCCUCCAUUCAGAACACCCACCCCGCACUGGUAUCUGGGAAAAUAGAUAGUGCUAUGCUCCUGUAAUUUGGGCUGUGUUUCGAUAACUCAUCACAUGCCAUCAAAAGUCUCAGUCACAGGGCUAACUUUAGUCGUGAUCCACCUAGCACAUUCCAAAUGAUGGAAGUCUAUUUGGCUCUAAGGACAGAGCCGGUCAGUGGUGGGAUGGAUCUUCAUUCCACACCUGUGGCCCGAGCAUGCAAUAGUGCUAGUGCUGAAAAGACCCGACAAGCUCGUGCCCCACAGAUAAAAUCUGGAAGGGUAGCUGGACAAAACCACGAAAUGAAAACCACAGGAAUGAAAGGAGCAGACGCCACCAGGAAAACAAGCCCAUGCUGCUGUGGAGGGCCGGGUCCAGACGGAGAGGGGCCUGGAUGGCUGCCACGAGGUGACGUUCAUAUUUGCAGCAGCAUGACAAGGAGCCAGCCCUGCCUCAAUCCAGGGCUCCGUCGCCUGUAGGAACGCCCAGCAGUGCACACUCUUGGAGGCACAAGUGAGGUUGGCCAGAGAGGAGGUAUUUUCCCACUCGGGCCUGACGGCAUCUCCAAGAACUAUGGGCUAGGAUAAUCCCCCCCACGCAGACUGGAGGCAGAAAGGCCCCGCGAGGCACCAUGGCUUCUCCAGGAUGAGGAACAGGGAAGAAGGAGCACUUGUGUCUGCGUCUGUCUCAAAGCUGGGACCCUGGCUGCACCCAGACCUUCUCGGAGGCCUGUGGAGACAGGUGGUUUGGGGAUCCUGGGGACACAUAUGAUACUGCAUGGAAAAGGGGGCGAGCAGUGCCCCGCCCAGAGGACUGCUUGCAUGGGUGGUAUCCGAGGAGGGGGCUCAGAUCACCGUGGUUUCCAGGCAAUGAUGUAACCUCUUUCACAACAAUGCCCACAGUGCAGGGGCCUCCUGUAAAGAGGCACCCAGAUCCUCACACUCAGCUCACUUGGCUGGACACAGCUGCUACGGAAAGAUGUUUUCCUGCUGUAUCCUGCCUCACAGCGUCUAUGGUCCCCAGACGACCCGGAGCCAAAACCUUUUUACUCGUUUUAAAGGGUGGCUCACCUCUCAUACUCCACACCUAUGGCCGUUUGCCAGGAGGUCAUCAAAGGUAACACGAGGGGGCCUACAUCGGGCUAUCCAGCUCAGGCCACUUCUGUGAGCCCCCACUGAACGGCCCCCACCCUCUCCCUUCCGUGGGGGGGAUCCUGACUUGGCGGGAACUGCUGGGUGUACAGCUGAUCACCUGGUGCUGCUGCCAUCUUCACAUCCCAGGACAGGGCUGGCACCAUAGAAAGGGGAUUCCCAAGUUGCCUCUUAACUGGGCCAAGUUUCCUUCAAUUCUUUUUCUGAUGGGAGUAACCUUCGUUUAUAGCAUUACGUAGUUUCAGGCUUUCAGCAUUAUAUUGCGAUUUCUGUGUAGAUGACAUCGUGUUCACCACAUAACGACUAAUGACAAUCCAUCACCACACACAUUUGCCUAAUCACCCCUUUUCACCCUCUUCCCUCCCCACUUCCCCUCUGGAACCCCCAAUCCAAUGCCUAUCUCCUGUGAUUCUUUGCUGCCGUCAUCCCUGAUUUAUGAGAGUAGUCACAAGGCUAUUGGACUUUCUCCCUCUGAAUUAUUUCACUUAGCAUAAUACCCUCCACGCCCAUCCAUGCUGUCACAGAAGGCCAGAUCUCCUCCUUUCGGAUGACUGAGUAGUAUUGCACGGUGUAUAUAUGCCAC
ensembl:lncRNA